GAUGAACGCUGGCGGCGUGCCUAAUACAUGCAAGUCGAGCGAACAGACGAGGAGCUUGCUCCUCUGACGUUAGCGGCGGACGGGUGAGUAACACGUGGAUAACCUACCUAUAAGACUGGGAUAACUUCGGGAAACCGGAGCUAAUACCGGAUAAUAUAUUGAACCGCAUGGUUCAAUAGUGAAAGACGGUUUUGCUGUCACUUAUAGAUGGAUCCGCGCCGCAUUAGCUAGUUGGUAAGGUAACGGCUUACCAAGGCAACGAUGCGUAGCCGACCAGAGAGGGUGAUCGGCCACACUGGAACUGAGGCACGGUCCAGACUCCUACGGGAGGCAGCAGUAGGGAAUCUUCCGCAAAGGGCGAAAGCUUGACGGAGCAACGCCGCGUGAGUGAUGAAGGUCUUCGGAUCGUAAAACUCUGUUAUUAGGGAAGAACAAAUGUGUAAGUAACUAUGCACGUCUUGACGGUACCUAAUCAGAAAGCCACGGCUAACUACGUG
rnacentral:rRNA from 1 species